rnacentral:lncRNA from 1 species
GUGCCGCUGGCCAGAGGACUGCUUCCAGGGCUUCCAACCAGUGACCUGAGCACCUGCAACCUCUGGGAUUUGUUAGAUGACCCUAGCUGGUGCAGUGAUUCUCAGCCAAGGUGCCAGGAUACCCUAGUGUGUGCAGAGAUCAUGAGGUGUGCAAAGAUGGGCAGAUAAGGACAGCAGGCUCAGUUUCCUCCCUGCUGGGCUGCAGUCCUGUUCUCACUGCCUGGCCCCUCUGCAAAAGGUGAGAUGUAAAUUAGUGUUUGAAAUGGGGUGCUGCUCAAAUCACAAAAAGUAUAGAAGGGUGCCUGGAGUCUAAAGAGGGGCACCUUGAGUCUGGAAAGGUUGAGAGCCACCGAGCUAGUGCACUGCGCUCAUAGAUCCAUGAUGCCAUUUUGCAAGUUUGAGUCAAGCCUCCCCCACACAUUUCUGACAUUUCAGAGGCUAUAGUUGGUGGAAGUCCCAUUUAUUGAAGUGCCAAGCAUCUACUCCCUUCCAUGUUCAUUAUACUCGCUUUGCUCUUCCCUUCCCAACUGUCUCAGCAACCUGAGGGCAAGAGUGGCAGUUCAAAACUUUAAGCCAAAAGAAUGGUCCCACAGUUUAGUGGCAGUUUCUUGGUUCACAGGGUAUUUCAGUGCCACCUGUAGGAUGAGCAUGUAGGGUCUGGGUCAUGCCUCCUGGAGCUCUGCUGGUUCUGAAGGGCCACUCAGGAUCACAUAGCCAGAGCUCAGCAAAACACUUAAAAGGAGGUAGAUCACUUGGUACCUUCUCCCCUUCCUCUUCUUCCCCACCUCUCACAGACAAGGGCAUCCAAUUUCUACAUGCAUCCCCACCAAAAAUGCUGCACAGAGCCAGACUCUAUUACAUACAGAGCUCACUGCAAAUACAGUUUUUCUAAUCAGAGCCAUUCUAACUAAACUCAAGUUACUUUCACCAGACUACAAACAAGGUAACUAAGAGACUGUGCAAGAAACACAUUUUCACUUUGCUCCAAUUCAUUCAUGACUUUAAACACUAAUCUCCUUUGUACCUCUCCUCCAGAGACAGUCCAAACCUGCAGUCCCUUCAGUCGGGUACAGAGCUUCUGCAAGCUUCAUUUAAAGAGCAGAAAAAACAUGAAAGACGGUUGGAAAAGGGUAUCCUUUCUUCCCGUCCCAAGCCUGGUCUGGAGUGGAGCACUGUGUUUAUAUCCAAGGAGCUGGGAAAACAGAAGCUUUUACACCAUGGGUCAUCUCAGCUUUCCAAUGAUUUAUGCUCUAAUGCAAUACUUUAGAGUGCAAUUUGAGGCAAGUACCUUAGCAACAUUAAAGCAAAAAAACUUCCUAUGUGAAUGGAGUGUGAGACAGAUGUAUCCAUCUGCUGCUUCAAGAGAGCAUAAGUAAAAGGUUAAUGAAGAGGGUGUAGGUGAUGUUUUUCAGUAUGAAGUGACAGCCUUCUGGCAUUAUUGGCAAGGUUGUAGCCAGCAUGAAAGCAACAAAUCAUGCAGGGAAGUUUUGCCUUACCCUCUGUAAGGGUUUGAGUUGGUCAGGUAUGUCCUGACACUGCUUUUACUGUCUCUCCCUAAACUACUAGUGUUAGAUUGAGCUUCUGAGUGCAGGCCCCACUUACAGUACUUGGCAACCAUCUGUGGUAAUGAGCAUGUUUAAAAUGCUCAAGAGAAGGACACCCUUCCUCUCCCUGCCUCCCCUCCCCCCCGCAGGGAAAAAGUUGCAAUUAUCCUGGUCCUCUGCAUUUCCUGAGAUGCAAAGGAAGCUCCUUCAAAAACAGACUCUGGUCAAACACUGACCAGCGGGUGUAAGCACAUUUUAAGGAUCAAAUAAUUAAGGGAAAAUUUAACAAGUUAUUUUGUACAUAUCUAUCCUGUCCAGCAACAUCUCUGUACAAAUCAAAUCCGUGAGAGACUACUCAUUGGCAACCUUUUGUUGUAAAGCUCAUCUCCAAAUUUGCCCUCACUACAUUAGCUGUGUGCUUUGCAUAGCUAUUACAGAUAUCAGAAAGACAGCAGCUGCUUCCAAGUUACCUAGGGACAUAGACUCUCCAUCACCCAGAGCCUUUAUCUCAAGGCUGUCUCUCUCUUUUUUUUUUUAAAGAUGUAUCCAAGCUGAAUUAGAAGUGUGCAGGAUAAAUAUUUACUGGAGGAGGAUCUAUAACUUUUGCUGUAUAGA